AUCGAUGAAGAACGCAGCGAAAUGCGAUAAGUAAUGUGAAUUGCAGAAUUCAGUGAAUCAUCGAAUCUUUGAACGCACCUUGCGCUCCUUGGUAUUCCGAGGAGCAUGCCUGUUUGAGUGUCAUUAAUAUAUCAACCUUCUCUUUUUGAGUGGUUUGGAUGUGGGGGUUUGCUGGCCUCUUAAAAGGUCUUGGCUCUCCUGAAAUACAUUAGCAGAACAACCCUGUUCAUUGGUGUGAUAACUAUCUACGCUAUUGAAUGUGAAGGGCAGUUUGGCUUUCUAACAGUCCUUGGACAAGCUCAUCAUUAAUGUGACCUCAAAUCAGGUAGGACUACCCGCUGAACUUAAGCAUAUCAAUAAGCGGAGGAAAAGAAACUAACAAGGAUUCCCCUAGUAACUGCGAGUGAAGCGGGAAAAGCUCAAAUUUAAAAUCUGGCAGUCUUUUGGCUGUCCGAGUUGUAAUCUAGAGAAGUGUUAUCCGCGCUGGACCGUGUACAAGUUUCCUGGAAUGGAGCAUCAUAGAGGGUGAGAAUCCCGUCUUUGACAUGGACUACCAGGGCUUUGUGAUGCGCUCUCAAAGAGUCGAGUUGUUUGGGAAUGCAGCUCAAAAUGGGUGGUAAAUUCCAUCUAAAGCUAAAUAUUGGCGAGAGACCGAUAGCGAACAAGUACCGUGAGGGAAAGAUGAAAAGCACUUUGGAAAGAGAGUUAAACAGUACGUGAAAUUGCUGAAAGGGAAACGCUUGAAGUCAGUCACGUCUGCCAGGACUCAGCCUCGCUUCUGCUUGGUGCACUUUCUGGUUUGAUGGGCCAACAUCAAUUUUGACCGCUGGAGAAAGGCAUUGGGAAUGUGGCACCUUCGGGUGUGUUAUAGCCCUUUGUUGUAUGCAACGGUUGGGAUUGAGGACUGCAGCACGCCUUCAUGGCCGGGGUUCGCCCACGUAUGUGCUUAGGAUGUUGGCAUAAUGGCUUUAAGCGACCCGUCUUGAAACACGG
rnacentral:rRNA from 1 species